CUUUUAGUGAAGAUGCCUGGAACGAAGUCGUCGUCCUAACAACAAAGAUUUCUUGCUUGCAUUUCAAACUUGCUGAAAGAGACCCAACACCUUUUCAUCGUGCAGCAAAGCUGACAAUUAAUUAUCAACCGGAAGAUGGCGAUUUUCCUCAACAGGAAAUCCUUGGAGUCUACUUGAGGAAUUGUAUUAUACACUAUGGAACGUACGUACAGAGAAACUCACCCAUUGUGGGCUCUUGCAGAAUACUGCAAGCGUACGUGUCCCAUUGCCAUUCAGAAAAAUUUGAAUUAAUUAGUGAACUAUAUAUAAGA